rnacentral:rRNA from 1 species
UACGUAGGGACCAAGCGUUGUCCGGAUUUAUUGGGCGUAAAGAGCUCGUAGGCGGCCCUCCACGUCGGAUGUGAAAGCUCAGGGCUCAACCCUGGGAUGCCAUUCGAUACGGGAAGGCUAGAGGUAGGUAGGGGAAAGUGGAAUUCCUGGUGUAGCGGUGAAAUGCGCAGAUAUCAGGAGGAACACCGGUGGCGAAGGCGGGUCUCUGGGCCGAUACUGACGCUGAGGAGCGAAAGCGUGGGGAGCAAACAGG